AGGGUGGGGGGGGCUGACGGGGGGGAGGGUGGGGGGGGCUGACGGUGGGGAGGGUGGGGGGGGCUGACGGGGGGUGGGGGAGGGGCGAGCCACGUGACCGCUCUCGUGAGGACCGGGGCCGUUAACGGACCACGCCACGAACCGUCGCCACAACCGCCUCGACCACCGGAGCAAGUGCGACACCCCCUGCCGCUCCUCCUGCUCCUGCUCCAUCACCACCACCGCCUCCACCUCCUCCUCCUGCUGCUCCUCCAUCACCACCACCGCCUCCUCCUCCUGCUCCUCGCUCUGCCGCUGCCUGCGUGCCUGCCUAUAGCACCUGGCAAGCCCCGGGUCCACUCACAUCGCCCCAUUGCGUGACUCAACCAAGGCGCUGGGCUUUGCCUGUCACCGUCGUGCAGUGAGGAGGAACUCUACUGAACCUCCAGGAUGGCGGACGAUGAAGAACUUCCACCAACCCAACCACCUCCUCCACCACUCCCGGUCGCCCCACUGAUCGAUGAAGAACUUCCACCAACGCAACCACUUCCCGUCGUCCCACCGACCGACGAACUUCCACCACCUCCACCACCUCAACCACUCCCGGUAGUGCCACUGACCGACGAACUUCCACCACCUCCACCACUCCCGGUAGUGCCACCGACCGACGAACUUCCACCACCACCACCUCAACCACUUCCGGUAGUGCCACCGACCGACGAACUUCCACCACCACCACCACCUCAACCACUUCCGGUAGUGCCACCGACCGACGAACUUCCACCACCACCACCUCAACCACUCCCGGUAGUGCCACCGACCGACGAACUUCCACCACCUCCACCACCUCAACCACUCCC